GCGAGACGGUGACGUUGAGCAAAUCCCAAAAAUAAACGUCUCAGUUCGGAUUGCAGCCUGCAACUCGGCUGCAUGAAGCUGGAAUCGCUAGUAAUCGCGGAUCAGAAUGCCGCGGUGAAUACGUUCCCGGGUCUUGUACACACCGCCCGUCACACCAUGGGAGUUGGAAAUGCCCGAAGUCAGUGGCCCAACCGCAAGGAGGGAGCUGCCGAAGGCAGGUUCGAUGACUGGGGUGAAGUCGUAACAAGGUACC
rnacentral:rRNA from 1 species